rnacentral:lncRNA from 1 species
CUGUAGAAAGAAGAGCGCCUUACAGCUGCUAAGAACGGAUUGUUUUCACGUGAGGGUGAGCUGGUAGACUGUCUGCGCACUUUUGCAGUGUGGAGAACAUCCCGGAAGGAAAGGAGCCAAGACAGGAGGGCUGCGGUGGCCUUCCUAGUGCAUUGUUCCUGACUUUGCGUUCAGAUUGCUUGGGUUGCCGAAUUCUAAGAAAUAAAACGAUGCGAACUGCUGAUGUCGGAGUUGCAAACGACAAAGCGGGUGGGUCACCACGGGGUCAAAGGAACUUCAAGGUAAGUGGUGGCCUCGGGAGAAAGGACUCCCCGCAGAGCAGCCCCCUCGCUCCUGGCCUCUGGGGGCGGGGUGGGGAGGUUGGGAGUUGGGGGGGAUCGGGCGGGAGCCCCUCCCCCCCGUCCCCCCCGGACCUUUGGGGUAGUGUGGAGUCAGCCGCGAUUCCGCCUGGGCCCCUCCAGCGCCAGGAGGGGGAUCCACAGCGACAAAGGAAGCGGGGUGCGGGAGGCGGGGGCCGGGGGCUGCGGCGCCCAGGCUUGCGGGGCGGCGGAGGAGGGAGGCCGCCCCGCGCCCCGCGCCAGGUCUCCGCGUGUGCAGUGUGUUGUGGGCCGGCCGCGCCCCUCCCCUCCCCUCC